CACCGGCAGCUCUAGUGGUAGCUGUUUUUAUUGGGCCCUAAAGCGUUCGUAGCCGGUUUGAUAAGUCACUGGUGAAAUCCUGUAGCUUAACUGUGGGAAUUGCUGGUGAUACUGUUGAACUUGAGGUCGGGAGAGGUUAGCGGUACUCCCAGGGUAGAGGUGAAAUUCUGUAAUCCUGGGAGGACCACCUGUGGCGAAGGCGGCUAACUGGAACGAACCUGACGGUGAGGGACGAAAGCUAGGGGCGCGAACCGGAUUAGAUACCCCUGUAGUCCCUGAGCGGGCUGG
rnacentral:rRNA from 1 species